CAGCAGCCGCGGAAACACAGAGGGUGCGAGCGUUAAUCGGAUUUACUGGGCGUAAAGCGUGCGUAGGCGGCUUUUUAAGUCGGAUGUGAAAUCCCUGAGCUUAACUUAGGAAUUGCAUUCGAUACUGGGAAGCUAGAGUAUGGGAGAGGAUGGUAGAAUUCCAGGUGUAGCGGUGAAAUGCGUAGAGAUCUGGAGGAAUACCGAUGGCGAAGGCAGCCAUCUGGCCUAAUACUGACGCUGAGGUACGAAAGCAUGGGGAGCAAACAGGAUUAGAUACCCCCGUAGUCCCUGUCUCUUAUAC
rnacentral:rRNA from 1 species